AGAGUUUGAUCAUGGCUCAGGACGAACGCUGGCGGCGUGCUUAACACAUGCAAGUUGAACGGUACUCCAUGGAAGCUUGCUGAAGUGGAGUAUAGUAGCGGACGGGUGAGUAAUGCAUGAGAAGCUGCCAUUGGGAGGGGGACAACAGCUGGAAACGGCUGCUAAUACCCCGUAUGCCGGAAGGUGAAAGGGAUUUAUCCCGCCCGAUGAGGUGCUCAUGUCCUAUCAGCUAGUUGGUGAGGUAACGGCUCACCAAGGCGACGACGGGUAGCCGGCCUGAGAGGGUGAACGGCCACACUGGAACUGAGACACGGUCCAGACUCUUACGGGAGGCAGCAGUGGGGAAUAUUGGGCAAUGGGGGGAACCCUGACCCAGCGACGCCGCGUGAGGGAAGACGGCCUUCGGGUUGUAAACCUCUUUUGUAUGGGAAGAAGGAUGUGACGGUACCAUACGAAUAAGUCCCGGCUAACUACGUGCCAGCAGCCGCGGUAAUACGUAGGGGACGAGCGUUGUCCGGAAUUACUGGGUGUAAAGGGCGCGCAGGCGGUUUGUCAAGUCAGCUGCUAAAAAUGGGGGCUUAACCCUCAUAUGCUGUUGAAACUGGCAGACUGGAGUGCUGUAGAGGCAAGUGGAAUUCCCAGUGUAGCGGUGAAAUGCGUAGAUAUUGGGAAGAACACCGGUGGCGAAGGCGACUUGCUGGGCAGCAACUGACGCUGAGGCGCGAAAGCCAGGGGAGCAAACGGGAUUAGAUACCCCGGUAGUCCUGGCCGUAACGAUGAAUGCUAGGUGUGGGUGUAGAGAUACAUCCGUGCCGGAGCUAACGCGAUAAGCAUUCCGCCUGGGGAGUACGGUCGCAAGAUUGAAACUCAAAUGAAUUGACGG
rnacentral:rRNA from 1 species